CCUACGGGACGCUGCAGUGGGGAAUAUUGGACAAUGGGCGAAAGCCUGAUCCAGCCAUGCCGCGUGUGUGAAGAAGGCCUUCGGGUUGUAAAGCACUUUCAGUGGGGAAGAAAGCCUUGGGGCUAAUACCCUCGAGGAAGGACAUCACCCACAGAAGAAGCACCGGCUAACUCCGUGCCAGCAGCCGCGGUAAUACGGAGGGUGCGAGCGUUAAUCGGAAUUACUGGGCGUAAAGCGCGCGUAGGCGGUCUGAUAAGCCGGUUGUGAAAGCCCCGGGCUCAACCUGGGAACGGCAUCCGGAACUGUCAGGCUAGAGUGCAGGAGAGGAAGGUAGAAUUCCCGGUGUAGCGGUGAAAUGCGUAGAGAUCGGGAGGAAUACCAGUGGCGAAGGCGGCCUUCUGGACUGACACUGACGCUGAGGUGCGAAAGCGUGGGUAGCAAACAGGAUUAGAUACCCGUGUAGUC
rnacentral:rRNA from 1 species